rnacentral:lncRNA from 1 species
CUGGCCUAGGGAAGCUGGUACUUGUUAUUGUUGCUUCAAAGACUGUCUAUGUGGGAGAGGGAAUGAGAUGUGUUGGGAUGAAAAUACCCUAGCUGUAAAAAGCAGUAAUAAUUACUGUCUACAUGUGGGCAAGUCAAAAGGGGUUAUUACCAAAAGAAAUUUAAACUCCUGUUUGCAGAGAAAACUGCCUGAAAUCCAACAUUAUUCAUCUCUCCUGCGUGGAUUGUUUUUAAACAGUUUUCUUCAAACGCCACUUUUGUAAGGCAGAAUUUAAAUGGAUCAAGACAACGUUAAGAGGCUUGGCAUCAGGUCCAUAAACUCAAUCCAGUGACACAUGGUUUUCAUUUAUAUGGUUAUCAAAGCCUAUUUCUUCAUUCACAAGGCAGAAGCAAGAACAUUUUCCUUCCUUAAGGUCCUUGUGUGGUACCUUUUUUUCAAUAUCUGUUUGUCACUGGAACUGGAGAAAAUUUACAUUGACAAGAUCUCUAAUAUUGCACUGUCUUUCACUGAAGAUUAUGGGGAUUCCAGAGGUUGUGUAGAACCAAGGAGAGGAGCACAGAGCUGUCUUUGGAAGUGGAGAAGCAUGGUCCCCUCCUGGGACCAUGGAGGAGGCAGUGUUCAAGCCAAACAGCUCCAGGAAAUGAUGCUGAGUUUCCACUUACAUGAUAAUUCAAACCUUGGUCACAGAGUAAAGUGACCAAAUUGUUUACCUUUGGAUGCACAUGGAGCACAAUUGGAUUGCAAUGAAUUUCAGGAACUGGCAACCAGAGUGUAUUUGAGGUGAGUGACCUAGAAACAAACUUGGUAUCUCAUUACUGUAAGCCAUCCAGUAUGAUUUACUUAGUG